rnacentral:rRNA from 1 species
AGCAGCCGCGGUAAUUCCAGCUCCAAUAGCGUAUAUUAAAGUUGCUGCAGUUAAAAAGCUCGUAGUUGAAUUUCGGGACCAUCAUGUCGGUCGUGCCUCGGUACGUACUGGUAUUGUUGGUUUCUCCCUUCUGACGAACCAUGAUGUCAUUUAUUUGGUGUUGUGGGGAAUCAGGACUGAUACUUUGAAAAAAUUAGAGUGUUUAAAGCAGGCUCACGCUUGAAUACAUUAGCAUGGAAUAAUGAAAUAGGACGUUUGAUUCUAUUUUGUUGGUUUCUAGGAUCGACGUAAUGAUUAAUAGGGAUAGUUGGGGGCAUUAGUAUUCAAUUGUCAGAGGUGAAAUUCUUGGAUUUAUUGAAGACUAACUACUGCGAAAGCAUUUGCCAAGGAUGUUUUCAUUAAUCAAGAACGAAAGUUAGGGGAUCGAAGACGAUCAGAUACCGUCGUAGUCUUAACCAUAAACUAUGCCGACUAGGGAUCGGAUGAUGUUAAUUUUUUAAUGACUCAUUCGGCGCCUUACG